rnacentral:ncRNA from 1 species
GAACGCCGUGUGCAUUGAAAGGUGCUCGCACGGUGUAGAGCGGGGGAAAAGCUGGAGAUUACUUCAAAGGUUUACCUAUCGCUAU